rnacentral:rRNA from 1 species
AGUGAACGCUGGCGGUAGGCCUAACACAUGCAAGUCGAACGGCAGCACAGUAAGAGCUUGCUCUUACGGGUGGCGAGUGGCGGACGGGUGAGGAAUACAUCGGAAUCUACUUUUUCGUGGGGGAUAACGUAGGGAAACUUACGCUAAUACCGCAUACGACCUACGGGUGAAAGCAGGGGAUCUUCGGACCUUGCGCGAUUGAAUGAGCCGAUGUCGGAUUAGCUAGUUGGCGGGGUAAAGGCCCACCAAGGCGACGAUCCGUAUCUGGUCUGAGAGGAUGAUCAGCCACACUGGAAGUGAGACACGGUCCAGACUCCUACGGGAGGCAGCAGUGGGGAAUAUUGGACAAUGGGCGCAAGCCUGAUCCAGCCAUACCGCGUGGGUGAAGAAGGCCUUCGGGUUGUAAAGCCCUUUUGUUGGGAAAGAAAAGCAGCAGGUUAAUACCCCGCUGUUCUGACGGUACCCAAAGAAUAAGCACCGGCUAACUUCGUG